GGGAUCCGAAAGGGAAAGACUGUUUGAAGGUGGUACAGAUGAUGUGAAGCCCAGAUUGAGAACUCCUCAAGAAAUUAGGGCUGCCUAUGGCAAAGCUAGGGAUGCUUCUUCAGUGGCUGCAAAUGCAAGAAAUAAGCUUGUAGAGAGGCAGG